GCUCCAAUAGCGUAUAUUUAAGUUGCUGCAGUUAAAAAGCUCGUAGUUGGAUUUCGGGUGGGGCCUGCCGGUCCGCCGUUUCGGUGUGCACUGGCCGGGCCACCUUGUUGCCGGGGACGGGCUCCUGGGCUUCACUGUCCGGGACUCGGAGUCGGCGAGGUUACUUUGAGGAAAGUGGAGUGUCACACGCAGGUUGCGCC
rnacentral:rRNA from 1 species